rnacentral:rRNA from 1 species
UCGCCUCUAGUUGCCAGCAUUCAGUUGGGCACUCUAAGGUGACUGCCGGCUAAAAGUCGGAGGAAGUGGGGAUGAACGUCAAAUCAUCAUGCCCCUUAUGACCUGGGCUACACACAUGCUACAAUGGGCGGUACAAAGGGUCGCGAACCCGCGAGGGGGAGCCAAUCCCAAAAAGCCGCUCUCAGUUCGGAUUGCAGGCUGCAACUCGCCUGCAUGAAGCCGGAAUCGCUAGUAAUCGCGGAUCAGCAUGCCGCGGUGAAUACGUUCCCGGGCCUU